UUUCCGUAGGUGAACCUGCGGAAGGAUCAUUACCGAGUCGGGGUCCUUGUGGCCCAUGCUCCAACCCCAUGUGUAUGCUACCUUGUUGCUUUGGCGGGCCCGCGGUUUCACGACCGCCGCCGGCUUUAGCUGGCCAGUGCCCGCCAGAGGACCUUCAAACCCUGUUUUAUCAGCGUUGUCCGAGCAAACUUUAAUGUUAAAACUUUCAACAACGGAUCUCUUGGUUCUG
rnacentral:misc_RNA from 1 species